AUGACGAAGGAACAGCUUGCCAAAUUGUGCAAGACAAUUGUAACCUUCAUCGCACAGACCACCCUGCAGAUCCUGCUGCCAGCCCUGGCCCGCAUACUUGGGGUAAAGGACUUUGCUGACGACGACACUGACUCACCCAAGAGGGGUGGCAGUGCAAGAUCCUUUGCUGCCUUUGAUCAGGAAAGACUGGAGCUCAUCCAGGAAGUUAGAUAUCUGGCGAAGAAAAUGUAUAAUGCUCAACAUCUCAGGUCCCUAACACCCUCUUCUAAGAGUUCCCAGACCUCAGUGAAAGUCCUCCUGGGAAUGACAGAGGACAGAAUCAUCAAAAGUGUCCAGGAGCAACUGUCUGAUCAUAAUAUCCUGUCCUCUUGCCCACCUGAGCUGACUGUUGGUCUUAUCAAGGUGGUGGUCGAACAGCUUAACUCUGCCCUCUCUGCGACCAUCAGCAGAGCCAUUUCAGGGCGGUCCUCCCCUAUUUCUUCUGGUACCCAGGCCGCUGAACAAAUGGUCAACAUGGUCCAGAAAUGUUUUGAUGAUCACACCACCCCAGAGGACCAGAGCUCUACCUCUGUAUUAGAGUCAUGCAUUCCACCUGCAACAGAAGAAGUGAUGACUGUUAUCGCAGAGAUGGUGGGUGAAUUGGAAAAAGAAGAUCCGGAAUUGGCUAAGGUUUUUCGAGAAGUGGCUGUGAAAGUUAAAAUGUUGGCAUCUGGCAGUGACCUUGUAGUGGAGCACCUGGAUGUUGAAGACUCUCCUGUUCCAGAGGAGCUGAACAUAAUAUGUACAUCUUGCAAAGCAAUGAUGCAAAAUCUUGGCACUCUGUUUAGUGUGAAGUUCAAGACCAAAGCCUCAAAGGCUGUGAGUGAAAUUCUUGUGAGAAGGUUAAUGAGCGAUAUCUCUGGUAUGGUUCAACCUUCUCAUUCGUUUAGUACCACUCCAAGCUUGAUGAAUGCAUCUAGCCCAUCUGACAGGAUCCUUGAUUCUGCGGCCACUGAGCUCAUACAGACCAAAGUAGAAUCUGAGGCAUCAAAAAUAAUUGAUAACUUUGUUGAAGAUGUCAAGGACAUUGUGCAGUAUGCUGAAUUAGAUCAGCCAACAAGCACCCAGAGAGAUACCCAAGUGGGACACUGUACGACAAAGCGGAAACCCUUCCAUGCAGCUCGUAGACUCUGCGAGAGACUUCAGGCAAAGCUGGAGACAUUGUUCCUCAGAAUGGGUGGAGCUCCAGUCCAAGGGGAAGAACUUAUGGAAAAAGCUGACUCCAGUGCUGUGCUUCUGGAGCAUACUGACUCCAGUGAUCUGCCUGUUUCAAUCCUGAGCUUGCCUUCCCCAUGUAGGAGUGAAUCCCCUAUAUCAGAACGUAGUUCAUCUUCUUUAUCUGAUGGAUGUGAUUCAACUGACUCUGUAGGAGAGAAAACACCAGAGCAACCUGAAACCAGUAAGAGUGAGGCAAUACUGCAAGUGGUCAACUCAACAGGACUUGGUUCUCUCCGUAAAUGCCAAAGUGAGAACUCUCAACCAUUACUGUCUCUCUGUGAUUCCAACAUGGUGCCCUGCACCAAAGAGGUCUUGUCCCAGAUUGUGACCAUGUAUAGGUCAGAGGUGGCAGAUUUGGAAUGCACAUCAUCUGUUGCAGAGGGUUCCUCUUACAACUCCCUUGAAGUCUGUGGCUUUUUGGACAGUGUCAUGUCUUAUCUAGAAGACAUGCCUGUGUCUGGUUCUUCAUGGUUGGAAGGAUUAAGAGAUACUCCAGCCUCAGUCAUUGAGAAACUCUCCAGUGAGGAGUUCCAGAAGAACGCUACCAACGAAGUGCGAAAAAUACUGAUCAAAUCAGUCAGUAGCUUUCCCAGCAAAGUCAGUUCCAGCCAGACAGAUUCUCAGAUGUUGCCAGCAAAAUCAACAAUUUCCUUAAGGCAUACAGAUAUAACUGCUUUUGAAAUCGUUGGAUCAAUUACAAAUGACAUGAAGAGCCUUUUCCCACCCACAGAGUCUUCUACUACUCUAUGGCAGGCAGACUCUAUGCUUCAACAGAGUGAUGAGAAAACCUCAGAGUACACUGAGGCCACACCCAAAGGCUCACAGUCUGGUUUGGAAGUAUCUGAGAAGAAGAUCUGGACAACUGCAAAGACUAUUUACCACAAUGUGAAGACAAAGAUGAGGAAUUAUUUUACAUGGCAAAAUCAAGUCAAAGCAACAACGGCUCAAGCCAAAAAGACCCUCAGCCAUAUUCUGGUUUCAAUUCAGAAAGAGCUGUCAAAAUCUGACCAAACGGUGACUGCGCUUUCACAAAUAGAGAAUGUGGUUGGAAUGAUGCUGAAGGAUGUUGAAAGGGUAAGCAGUGAAUGUGGUGAGGAACUGAUCUAUCAAGCGCCACAGCGUUCUUCCUCCUCGUUGUCAUCCUCAUCUGCCAGAUCAAAGAAAUCAGAGUGGGAAUUUUCACUCCCUGGCACUCCCAUCUCUUCUGAUUUACCAGAGAGUAUUACUCAGCCCAUUGUGAGAUGCUCAGUCAUCGACAUGGGCAAAUCUACUAAGCCAAAAACAUCAGUGUGUGAUGCCAGGGAAAGCAUGUCUGCAAUAGUGGAUACCAUCAUAAAGGAGGUACAUCCAGAGGAAGAAGGGGAGGUUGCAUUCCACCCUGAUCUAUCAGCUGCAAUAGCAAGACUGGAGGAGCUCAUAUCUCAGGGUAGGAUUGGUGCUCUCUCACGUGAUCUUACUCACCAAGUCAACCGCAUCAUUUCUGAGAGCAACUUGACCCCUCUGGUUCUGACAGUGGCGGCUGGAAAGAGUGCAUCCGAUACAGUCCUUACUGAGCUGAAGAGGAAUGACAAGACGGUGGGGAAGCCCACAGCUUACAAGCUGGUUCAGCUUUUUGCAGAGGAGUCUGUGAAGCGCCUCUUGCUUCCUAGCCUUGUGCCCUCUACAGCUUCAAUGAGUUUGGCUCAGGGAGUUAGUGUGCCGGCUAGCGUAUCUGAAGAUAGGAUUUCAUGUUCUUUUUCUACAUCAGCAUUUAGUGACACAGUCAGCCUGUUUACCAAAGUAAUGGUAAGCCAGGUCAUGGACUCUGUGGUUUCUGAUGCACAAAGCAUAGGGGCAUCUCCAACCGGAACUUUAACUGAUAUAGGCAGUCUACUGAGUGGUAAGUCCUACCCUCUGCCAUCUUUCUCCGCCAUCAGCAUGACAACAAGUGGGACCUCCAAUGCUGCACGAGGCUUUGAGGCCAACAUAGAUGCUGAGGAAAGGGAUACCAUCAGUUGUUUCGGUGUACCUCAGAGCAUUGUUUGUGAUCAGAAUUCAACCAGCCCGGAUGUUGCUUCGCUUUCAACCCCAUCCACUGACAACUUAGUCGGUGAUGAUGACUUCACCGGCCUCAUCAGCAUGUUAGUGGUGAGACUUCUGUCAAAAAUCCAAACCCAAACUGAUCUGUACCCAACUGACGUCACACGCACGUCACAAGACCUGAUUCCAAAAGUUAUAGCUGCCUUCUGUGCAUGGUCAGGCUGCUCUGAGACCCAAGCUUAUCCCAAGAACCUGAAGAGUCACAAAGUAUACAGCACCGUCUACAAACAUCUGUUGAAGGAGUUUGGCUCAGAGAAAAUACUCCAACUGGCCGUGUCGACUCAGGACUCCACUUUCAAUAGGAUUCUUGUGAAGUCAUUGAGCAAGGAGCUUCUCCACAGUUGUAACGAGGCAUCAAGAGCAGCCUCAAGAACAUCUUUCGAUGCCACCAGGCCAGAAGCUCUUCUCAUGGCUGAAGAUGUGAAGGCUACCAGAGGGAAGCUGUCUUUCCUACAAAGGCUUGCCAGACUGAAAUUCAACUUAAAGGUACAUCACACUUAUUUAAGUUAACAAUUGUGUCAAUGUGAGUAAACAAUGUUAUUUAGAGAAAAUGUAAAACCAUCCAUUAAUUCCAAAACCAUUUAUAAAUCUUGUUGUGCUGGUGUGUAAGAUGUGAUCGUUAUUACCGUGAGAUUGUUCUGCUGUGACAGUUGUUUUGACAUGUUUUUGUUUUAGCCAUUCAUGAUGGGAAACAAGAAGGAUUCCAAUAAGAAUUCCCGCCAUUCUGAAUCCAAAGACCAGACUACUGCUGAAGAUAUCAUGUGUAAGUCCAUACAGCAGGACAUUUACUGUUUGAGAUAUUGGUGUACAAAGCUGCUAUUGCAAAAAUAUUAAACCCUAUAUACAGUACAUUAUAUAUUAUCGAUAGUAAUCUCUUAUGUAAAAUUAUUUAUAGUUUCCAAAUCUCAAGAUUCUGGUUCUCAUUUAUUUGUGAAAGUAAAAAUGAGUUGAAACUAAGAAUACAAUAUACCAUCAUUUCUAAAUGAAAGUGCAUGUCAACUCUCUCUCUCUUCUGUCGCCCAACAUAGUGGCACAUCCUGCCACAUUUGGACUCCCAGAGGGUCUUAUCUCCACCUGUCAACAGGAGAAGCCUCGCAAACGUCCCCUUCUAAUCAGGAUGUUUUCCACCAUCUCCAUAGGCCUAUCCAAGCCAUUCAAACGGUUUUCAAAGCAAGCUUAAUACAACAAUUUCCUUUAAUACAGUAAUAUUUGCAUUGAAUUGAUGGCCUUUGUCUUCUUUUGUGUUGCCCUGUUAACAC
ensembl:lncRNA